rnacentral:lncRNA from 1 species
UUCCCCUCGACUCUCGAAGGCGCGAAGCCUGGGUUCGGUUCUGCAACAACCGAAGUCUACAGGGGAAGACUCCAUGGCAGCCACGAGGCAGGGUAGUUUGCUCCUUGCAUUUCGAGGAGUCAGCUCUCCUGCGCCCUGGACACCUCCGUCACAAUGCGUUGCCAAGUGUGCUUCCCACAAAAAGGACGACACAUGGCGACAUUUCCAGCAAAAGCUCUCCAGGUUCAGCAGUU